UCUUAGCCAAAACCUCAUCAGCAAGGCACAUUCUAAUUGUGCUAAAAGCUAUUUCCUCAAAUUCUUUUCAAUCUUCAAUAAAAAUCUUUUUAGGCCUUUCCCUAAUCAAGACCUUGUAAAUUUUAUUCGGAACUAACAGAUCCUUUAUCUUUUGCUAUCAAAGGAUGAAAUUUUUUUUACCAUCAAAUUUUUCAAAAUCUGCCUUAAGGCUACUCGACAUCAUUCCACAC
rnacentral:lncRNA from 1 species